rnacentral:rRNA from 1 species
AUUGAACGCUGGCGGCAGGCCUAACACAUGCAAGUCGAACGUGUGGCGGACGUGUGAGUACUGUCUGGGAAACUGCCUGAUGGAGCGGGAUAACUACUGUAAACGGUAGCUAUUACCGCCUACCAUCAUUUGUUCCCCGGUGGGAUUAGCUUGUUGGGGGGGUAACGGCUCACCAAGGCGACGCUCCCUAGCUGGCCUGAGAGGAUGACCAGCCACACUGGAACUGAGACACGUUCCAGACUCCUACGGGAGGCAGCAGUGGGGAAUAUUGCACAAUGGGGGCAAGCCUGAUGCAGCCAUGCCGCGGGUAUGAAGAAGGCCUUCGGGUUGUAAAGUACUUUCAGCGGGGAGGCGUGGACCGCAGAAGAAGGACCGGCUAACUCCGUGCCAGCAGCCGCGGGUAAUAG